rnacentral:rRNA from 1 species
CCAGACAACUAGGAGGUUGGCUCAGAAGCAGCCAUCCUUUAAAGAGUGCGUAACAGCUCACUAGUCGAAUGACUCUGCGCCGAUAAUUUACCGGGGCUAAGUAUAUUACCGAAGCUAUGGAUUUACGCGUAAGCGUGAGUGGUAGGGGAGCGUUCUAUGUGCGGAGAAGCGGUACCGUAAGGAGCCGUGGAGCGCAUAGAAGAGAGAAUGCCGGUGUGAGUAGCGAAACGUGGGUGAGAAUCCCACGCACCGAAAACCCAAGGUUUCCAGAGGAAGGUUCGUCCGCUCUGGGUAAGUCGGGACCUAAGGCGAGGCCGAGAGGCGUAGUCGAUGGACAACAGGUAGAGAUUCCUGUACUUACGGUAUGAAUGAUGGAGUGACGGAGAAGGCUAGCGGAUCCUGCUGAUGGAAAUGCAGGUGCAAGCGAGGUAGCCGACAGCCAGGCAAAUCCGGCUGUCGAAAGGCAAAGGCGUGAGGCGUAUGGAAAGCUGCGGCAAGUACAGAAGUCCGUGAAGCCAGCUUCCAAGAAAAGCUUCUAGUGAUAAUCAUACAGUAACCCGUACCGAAAAUGGACACACAUGGGUGAGGAGAGAAUCCUAAGGUGAGCGAGAGAACUAUAGCUAAGGAACUCUGCAAAAUGACUCCGUAACUUAGGGAUAAGGAGUGCUCAUAGAGAUAUGAGCCGCAGUGAAACGGCCCAAGCGACUGUUUACCAAAAACACAGCUCUAUGCUAAGUCGAAAGACGACGUAUAUGGGGUGACGCCUGCCCGGUGCUGGAAGGUUAAGAGGAUGUGUCAGCGCAAGCGAAGCAUUGAAUUGAAGCCCCAGUAAACGGCGGCCGUAACUAUAACGGUCCUAAGGUAGCGAAAUUCCUUGUCAGGUAAGUUCUGACCCGCACGAAAGGCGUAACGAUUUGGGCGCUGUCUCAGCUGUAGACUCGGUGAAGUCUUAGUACCUGUGAAGAUGCAGGUUACCCGCGACUAGACGGAAAGACCCCAUGGAGCUUUACUGUAGCUUGAUAUUGGACUUUGAUGCAAGAUGUACAGGAUAGGUAGGAGACUGAGAGACAUGCACGCCAGUGUGUGAGGAGUCAAUGUUGGGAUACUACUCUUCUUGUAUUGGAGUUCUAACCGGAUGCCAUGGAACUGGCAACGGGACAGUGUCAGGUGGGCAGUUUGACUGGGGCGGUCGCCUCCCAAAGAGUAACGGAGGCGCCCAAAGAUACCCUCAGCUUGGAUGGAAAUCAAGCGCAGAGUGCAAAGGCAUAAGGGUGUUUGACUGCGAGACCUACAAGUCGAGCAGGGACGAAAGUCGGGCUUAGUGAUCCGGCGGUGCUGAAUGGAAAGGCCGUCGCUCAACGGAUAAAAGCUACCCUGGGGAUAACAGGCUGAUCUCCCCCAAGAGUUCACAUCGACGGGGAGGUUUGGCACCUCGAUGUCGGCUCAUCGCAUCCUGGAGCUGAAGUCGGUUCCAAGGGUUGGGCUGUUCGCCCAUUAAAGCGGUACGCGAGCUGGGUUCAGAACGUCGUGAGACAGUUCGGUCCCUAUCUGUCGUGGGCGUAGGAAGUUUGAGAAGAUCUGUCCUCAGUACGAGAGGACCGGGAUGGACAUAUCAAUGGUGCACCAGUUGUCACGCCAGUGGCACAGCUGGGUAGCUAAAUAUGGAAGGGAUAAACGCUGAAGGCAUCUAAGUGUGAAACCCACUUCAAGAUGAGACUUCCCAUUACGCAAGUAAGUAAGACCCCUUAAAGACGAUAAGGUUGAUAGGUCAGGAGUGUAAGCAUGGCGACAUGUUCAGCGGACUGAUACUAAUAGGUCGAGGACUUAACCU